rnacentral:rRNA from 1 species
UACGUAGGGGGCAAGCGUUGUCCGGAUUUAUUGGGCGUAAAGAGCGUGUAGGCGGCCAGGCAGGUCCGUUGUGAAAACUCGAGGCUCAACCUCGAGACGUCGAUGGAAACCGUCUGGCUAGAGUCCGGAAGAGGUGAGUGGAAUUCCUAGUGUAGAGGUGAAAUUCGUAGAUAUUCGGAAGAACACCAGUGGCGAAGGCGACACACUGGCCCGUUACUGACGCUGAGGCGCGAAAGCGUGGGGAGCAAACAGG